rnacentral:rRNA from 1 species
ACGUAGGGUGCGAGCGUUAAUCGGAAUUACUGGGCGUAAAGGGUCCGCAGGUUGUUUUGUAAGUCAGAUGUGAAAUCCCCGGGCUUAACCUGGGAACUGCGUCUGAAACUACAAGGCUAGAGUAUGGCAGAGGGGGGUGGAAUUCCGCGUGUAGCAGUGAAAUGCGUAGAUAUGUGGAGGAACACCGAUGGCGAAGGCAGCCCCCUGGGUCAAUACUGACGCUGAGGGACGAAAGCAUGGGGAGCAAACAGG